rnacentral:lncRNA from 1 species
GGGUUUAGUUUUAUCUCCAUACUUUUUACUAUUUAUUUUUGCUGUUUUAAUGAAAUUAUCUUUCCUCGUGGGCUUUUAUCCUCUUGGGAGGAUUUUUUUCACGUAAAAUAUUUGUGUUCGAUCUUUUUAUUUUUUUUGUUAUUUUACUUGUUCGUUGCUUAACCGGAUUUAUCCCCAAUAAACUAGUAUCAGAGCUAGUUUGAUUUCCGCAAUCAACCUGUUCAAUUAUGGUUGCAACAAGGUUUG